rnacentral:rRNA from 1 species
AUGGCGACCGGCGCACGGGUGAGUAACACUAUCCAACCUGCCGAUAACUCUGGAAUAGCCUUUCGAAAGAAAGAUUAAUACCGGAUGGCAUACGAAUAUCGCAUGAUAUUUUUAUUAAAGAAUUUCGGUUAUCGAUGGGGAUGCGUUCCAUUAGUUUGUUGGCGGGGUAACGGCCCACCAAGACAAUGAUGGAUAGGGGUUCUGAGAGGAAGGUCCCCCACAUUGGAACUGAGACACGGUCCAA